rnacentral:piRNA from 1 species
UCCUACUUAGGGAUGGGAGGAAUACCUUC